GAUGAACGCUGGCGGUAUGCCUAACACAUGCAAGUCGUACGAGAGUUUUUAACUCUAGUGGCGGACGGGUGAGUAACACGUGAGAAUUUGCCUUUAGGAGGGGGACAACAAUUGGAAACGAAUGCUAAUACCCCAUAUGCUUUCGAGUGAAAUGGAUUUUAUCCGCCUAGAGAGAAGCUCGCGGCUGAUUAGCUUGUUGGUAAGGUAAGAGCUUACCAAGGCGACGAUCAGUAUCUGGUUUGAGAGGACGAUCAGACACACUGGAACUGAGACACGGUCCAGACUCCUACGGGAGGCAGCAGUGGGGAAUUUCCGCAAUGGGCGAAAGCCUGACGGAGCAAGACCGCGUGGGGGAGGAAGGUUCUUGGAUUGUAAACCCCUUUNUCUGGGAAGAAAAAAAUGACGGUACCAGAGGAAUAAGCAUCGGCUAACUCCGUG
rnacentral:rRNA from 1 species